rnacentral:rRNA from 1 species
GAUCAACGCUGGCGGCGUGCUUAACACAUGCAAGUCGAACGAAGUUUUUCUUUCGGGAGGAACUUAGUGGCGGACGGGUGAGUAACGCGUGGGUAACCUGCCCUGUACAGGGGGACAACAGCUGGAAACGGCUGCUAAUACCGCAUAAGCCCUUAGCACUGCAUGGUGCAUAGGGAAAAGGAGCAAUCCGGUACAGGAUGGACCCGCGUCUGAUUAGCCAGUUGGCAGGGUAACGGCCUACCAAAGCGACGAUCAGUAGCCGAUCUGAGAGGAUGUACGGCCACAUUGGGACUGAGACACGGCCCAGACUCCUACGGGGGGCAGCAGUGGGGAAUAUUGCACAAUGGAGGAAACUCUGAUGCAGCGACGCCGCGUGAGUGAAGAAGUAUUUCGGUAUGUAAAGCUCUAUCAGCAGGAAAGAAAAUGACGGUACCUGACUAAGAAGCACCGGCUAAAUACGUG